rnacentral:rRNA from 1 species
UGGGGAAUAUUGCACAAUGGGGGGAACCCUGAUGCAGCAACGCCGCGUGAGUGAAGAAGUAUUUCGGUAUGUAAAGCUCUAUCAGCAGGGAAGAAAAUGACGGUACCUGACGAAGAAGCUCCGGCUAAAUACGUGCCAGCAGCCGCGGUAAUACGUAUGGAGCAAGCGUUAUCCGGAUUUACUGGGUGUAAAGGGAGCGCAGGCGGUUUGGCAAGUCCGAUGUGAAAUGCCGGGGCCCAACCCCGGAACUGCAUUGGAAACUGCCAGGCUAGAGUGCCGGAGAGGUAAGUGGAAUUCCUAGUGUAGCGGUGAAAUGCGUAGAUAUUAGGAAGAACACCAGUGGCGAAGGCGGCUUACUGGACGGUAACUGACGCUGAGGCUCGAAAGCGUGGGGAGCAAACAGG